CACGUAGGGGGCAAGCGUUUGUCCGGAUUUAUUGGGCGUAAAGAGCUCGUAGGCGGCUCAGUAAGUCAGGUGUGAAACCUCCAGGCUCAACCUGGAGACGCCACCUGAUACUGCUGUGGCUAGAGUCCGGUAGGGGAGCGUGGAAUUCCUGGUGUAGCGGUGAAAUGCGCAGAUAUCAGGAGGAACACCAGCGGCGAAGGCGGCGCUCUGGGCCGGAACUGACGCUGAGGAGCGAAAGCGUGGGUAGCGAACAGG
rnacentral:rRNA from 1 species